rnacentral:rRNA from 1 species
UAUAGAGGGGGCAAGCGUUGUUCGGAAUUACUGGGCGUAAAGGGCGCGUAGGCGGCCUGUUAAGUCGAACGUGAAAUCCCCAGGCUCAACCUGGGAACUGCGUCCGAUACUGGCAGGCUUGAAUCCGGGAGAGGGAUGCGGAAUUCCAGGUGUAGCGGCGAAAUGCGUAGAUAUCUGGAGGAACACCGGUGGCGAAGGCGGCAUCCUGGACCGGUAUUGACGCUGAGGCGCGAAAGCCAGGGGAGCAAACGGG